GUGAGUCUAGUAAAAGUCAAGUGAUGUGAUGUUGUCCUUUCAUAAUUAAGUUUGGAUUGGAAAGAUCUGGUCCCAGAGAAGUGAUAUUUGAUAAAUUAAGGAAAGUGUUUAUAUAAUAUUUAAAAAUAAAUUAGAACAUUGGAAUAAAAAAGGAUAAUAGUAUUUAUAAUUAAGUUGAAAUAUUGUUUAUUUAGUUUAUACUGGUUUUUGAAAAAAUCCGUUUUUAAAGUGCAAAAACAGAAAUGAGUAGUUGUUUGUUAACAUUAUUUACUGAUGGUGGCCUGAGUCUGAAAAAAUAUUUUAUCUCUCCAAACUCAGGGAAUCUUUGAAAAACAAAGAUGAUUAAGAGAGGCUUAUCUUAAACAGGGUGAGCUGAAAUAAUCUGAAAAACAAACUAGCAGAGAUAAUACUUGAAUAAUGAGUGCUGAUGUGGUUAAAAAUAGGCAGGAAUAUAAAUAAGGAUAUCCUUACACAACUCUUUAUAGCUACUGUGACAGAAAUAGAAAAGGAAUGGACAACACAUUUUGCAAAGUUAUCUUCAUCUAAACGACUGUUUAUUCCUGUGAACCCUGUUGAAUAAUACUAGUAGGAGGCUGUAUUAGA